UGACUCCUGUUCUGUGUAUGGCACUGGUAGAAUUCACUGUGAACAGUCUCAGUCAGUGAAUUACCGAAGGGCCAUAAACAGAGCAGAGACA
rnacentral:pre_miRNA from 5 species